GAUGAAGAACGCAGCGAAAUGCGAUAAGUAGUGUGAAUUGCAGAAUUCAGUGAAUCAUCGAAUCUUUGAACGCACAUUGCGCCUCCUGGUAUUCCGGGAGGCAUGCCUGUUCGAGCGUCAUUUCACCACUCAAGCCUGGCUUGGUGUUGGGCGACGUCCCCUUUGGGGACGCGCCUCGAAACGCUCGGCGGCGUGGCACCGGCUUUAAGCGUAGCAGAAUCUUUCGCUUUGGAAGUCGGGGCCCCGUCUGCCGGAAGACCUACUCGCAAGGUUGACCUCGGAUCAGGCAGGGAUACCCGCUGAACUUAAGCAUAUCAAUAAGCGGAGGA
rnacentral:misc_RNA from 1 species